CGGGUUGUCCCAUUCGCCUAUACCGCNUUGUUAAGCAUUCCCGUCACUGGGCUGCNAGUUACGUGCNGCAAGCAUGAUNACCUCAAAGGUAUANUUGNNCGUGGGACUCCGCACAAGUCGUGUGGAGCAUGUGGCUUUAAUUUCGACGCAACAGCUGAAGAACCUUACCUAGUCUAGAAUGCUCUUGACAGCCCUAGAGAUAGGAUUUCCUUGGGUAUAACCAAGCAAGAUGCAUAGGUGUCUGCAUGCGCUGUCGUCAGCUCGUGUCGUGAGUAUGUUGGGUUAAGUCCCGCAACGAGCGCUAUACCACUUAUCAACUGUUGCCAGUCGGGUAAUGCCGGGAACUCGGUUGAGACUGCCGUUGAUAAAACGGAGGAAGGUGGGGAUGACGUCAAGUCACUCAUGGCCUUUAUGACUAGGGCUACACACGUGCUACAAUGGCCAGGUACAAAACGCUGCAAACUCGCAAGAGUGAGCCAAGUCGUAAGAAAGCCGGUCUCAGUUCGGAUUGGAGUCGUGCAACUCGACUCCAUGAAGUUGGAAUCGCUAGUAAUCGCAGAUCAGCACAGCUGCGGUGAAUACGUUCCCGGGUCUUGUACACAGCCAGCCCGUCACAUCACGUAAAUGUGGGAUUGUACUAGAAGCGCCAGGGCUAACUCGCAAGAGAGGCAUGGUGUAACGGUAUGAUUCAUGAUUGGGGUGAAGUGUAACAAGGUAGCUGUAGGAGAACCAUGCUGACUGGGAUGACUACUCAUU
rnacentral:rRNA from 1 species